rnacentral:rRNA from 1 species
GAUGAACGCUGGCGGCGUGCCUAAUACAUGCAAGUCGAGCGAACGGACGAGAAGCUUGCUUCUCUGAUGUUAGCGGCGGACGGGUGAGUAACACGUGGAUAACCUACCUAUAAGACUGGGAUAACUUCGGGAAACCGGAGCUAAUACCGGAUGAUAUUUUGAACCGCAUGGUUCAAAAGUGAAAGACGGUCUUGCUGUCACUUAUAGAUGGAUCCGCGCUGCAUUAGCUAGUUGGUAAGGUAACGGCUUACCAAGGCAACGAUGCAUAGCCGACCUGAGAGGGUGAUCGGCCAAACUGGAACUGAGACACGGUCCAGACUCCUACGGGAGGCAGCAGUAGGGAAUCUUCCGCAAUGGGCGAAAGCCUGACGGAGCAACGCCGCGUGAGUGAUGAAGGUCUUCGGAUCGUAAAACUCUGUUAUUAGGGAAGAACAUAUGUGUAAGUAACUGUGCACAUCUUGACGGUACCUAAUCAGAAAGCCACGGCUAACUACGU